rnacentral:rRNA from 1 species
AUGUCAAAGCGGGACAAACCCCAUAGGAUUUUUCUUUCAGCGAAAACAACCCCAUGUCAAAGCCUGCGGAAAGGCUUCGAUGACCGGUGGGUGACGCGGGUUAUGCAGAUGGUCUCGUGUGGUCGCACUGCCGUUAACAUCAAUAGGGAGAUCGACCCCUACUUCCCCACUUUCUGCGGGGUGAGGCAGGGUGAUCCAUUCUCCCCGUUCCUGUUUAAUAUGGUGGUUGAUGCUCUUGCGGCCAUUUUGGACAAGGCUAAGGCCGCGGGCCAUAUUUGUGGAAUCACCCCCCACUUGACUGGGGCGUUGGCAUCUCCCUACUCCAGUACGCUGACGACACCAUCAUCAUGGUCGAAGGCUCGGAUACGGACAUCGCUAGCCUUAAAUUCCUCCUCCUCUGCUUCCAACAAAUGUCUGGUCUUAAGAUCAACUUCGACAAGAGCGAUGUGA